rnacentral:tRNA from 1 species
UAGCUCAAUUGGUAGAGUGCUUGCCUAGCAUGCAAGAAGCACUGGGUUCAAUCCCCAU